rnacentral:rRNA from 1 species
GACGAACGCUGGCGGCGUGCUUAACACAUGCAAGUCGAACGGAAAGUGCCCAGCUUGCUGGGUGACUCGAGUGGCGAACGGGUGAGUAACACGUGGGUGAUCUGCCCUGCACUUUGGGAUAAGCCUGGGAAACUGGGUCUAAUACCGAAUAUUCCUUGCUGGUCGCAUGGCCUGGUGGGGGAAAGCUUUUGCGGCGUGGGAUGGGCCCGCGGCCUAUCAGCUUGUUGGUGGGGUGAUGGCCUACCAAGGCGACGACGGGUAGCCGGCCUGAGAGGGUGUCCGGCCACACUGGGACUGAGAUACGGCCCAGACUCCUACGGGAGGCAGCAGUGGGGAAUAUUGCACAAUGGGCGCAAGCCUGAUGCAGCGACGCCGCGUGAGGGAUGACGGCCUUCGGGUUGUAAACCUCUUUCAAUAGGGACGAAGCGCAAGUGACGGUACCUAGAGAAGAAGCACCGGCCAACUACGUGCCAGCCGCCGCGGUAAAAC